rnacentral:lncRNA from 1 species
AAGAAGCUGAGUCUUUGUGACGUAACGGGAUUGUUUGGGGCAAAAGAUAUUGGUUUUAACGCCGAAAACAUUAUUCAUCUGAUAAAGGGGAACGUGAUAUACGGUUACCAGUUUAACCCAAUCAAUGCCAUAUCAGAAGGUGACCGCUACUUCAGACCUUAACCAACGCUCCAAGAUAAGGUGCACUGUGCAGUUUUUGUUAUCGGUGCCAACAACUUAUCAGAUCUGACAGGCGGAUACAUAGAUAAAAUCCACAGGUUGCAAAAAGAAAUAAAGAAAAAUGCUGUUCUCCGAAUUUUGUUGCUGACUAAGUGCGAUCUCUUGUGCGAGGAGGUUGAUACAGAUGUGAAAAAUAUAUUCAGAAGCAUCAAAGUCAAAAAGGCGGUCGAUAAAGCUGCAAUAAUAUUUGCCAUACCAAAGAGUAAUAUUCACCCGGUUGUCAACUAUGGAGAGGAUGAGAUAUAUUUGGAUGCCGCGACAUCUAUCCCCAUUCUGCUCGCAGUUAGGCAGAUGAUGCAUUUCGCAAAUGAUUUCAUACAGAACGAAGCCAUGAGAAAAAGUCAGGAG